CGCACCGCCAUAUUGUUUACAUACAACCAAAAUCUGACCAAGAUGUCAUUCCUUUACUGGUCAGUCAGGAAACCAGAGCUCUGAGAGGUAGUCUUUUUUCAGUGCAACUGAUGUUUUCUAAGACGACAGACUGGUAUCAUCCUCUACUUGUUUCCCAAAUCAGAGCAUAUGGCUCCUAGAGUGCAGAACAGAGAUGGAUUAUGCCAACAGUUUUCAUAUCUCGUACAGGAGACAGAAAAACUAUGCAAUGCCCAAAAAUCAAUACAGAUUGCAUAAUUGAUAUGCUCAAAGCCUAUAUGACUGAAUUUUUCCAUAAUAUUUUAAAGGCAAAAUGUUUUUGUAUGGACUAACUUAUCUUUCAGAAAACUUAAAAAUCAUCUCUGAAAUUGUUUUGAAAAUGGGUAUUCUGAGCAAAAUCUAGAACUAACUGAAAACCUAAUACCCACUGAGAUACAAUUGUUGAGAAAAAAGAUUUUCAUUUAACAGUGGUUGGUUUAAUCUUAUGUAUCUGAAAUAAACAUAUAACUUUA